GUUUCUGUAGUGUAGUGGUUAUCACGUUGGCGUAACACCCGAAAGGUCCUCGGUUCGAACCCGGGCGGAAACA
rfam:Salmo salar isolate Sally breed double haploid chromosome ssa06, whole genome shotgun sequence.